rnacentral:rRNA from 1 species
GACGGAGGGUGCUAGCGUUGUUCGGAAUGACUGGGCGUAAAGGGCGCGUAGGCGGCUCGUGAAGUCGGGUGUGAAAGCCCUGGGCUCAACCCAGGAAGUGCACUCGAAACUGGCGGGCUAGAGUAUCGGAGAGGUUGGUGGAAUUCUCGGUGUAGAGGUGAAAUGCGUAGAUAUCAGGAGGAACACCGGUGGCGAAGGCGGCAUCCUGGACCGGUAUUGACGCUGAGGCGCGAAAGCCAGGGGAGCAAACGGG